AGCUUUGUGCAGUGGCAGUAUCGUAGCCAAUGAGAUUUAUCCAAGGCGCGAUUAUUGCUAAUUGAAAAUGGAACAUAGUCCUUCACAUAUUACAUGAAAGAAGUUAUAGAGGGCUGAGUAGA
rnacentral:snRNA from 1 species